UCCGUAGGUGAACCUGCGGAAGGAUCAUUAUAGAAUUCCAAUUGGGUCAGGUUGUGCUGGCUGAAAAGCAAGUGCACGCCUGCUCAUAAGCAUUCAAACCUCUGUGCACCUUUCAUGGAAUAGCUUGUGGAUUGGGUGACCUAUGUUGCUUGAUUUACAGCUGCUCUGUGUUUUUAUAAACUUCUUAAUCAGUUCAGAAUGUCUAUUGUGUUAAUACACAUCUUUAUACAACUUUCAGCAACGGAUCUCUUGGCUCUCGCAUCGAUGAGGAACGCAGCGAAAUGCGAUAAGUAAUGUGAAUUGCAGAAUUCAGUGAAUCAUCGAAUCUUUGAACGCACCUUGCGCUCCUUGGUAUUCCGAGGAGCAUGCCUGUUUGAGUGUCAUGGUAUUCUCAAUUCUUCAGGUCUUUUUGUGAGACUCUGAUGAUAUUGGACUUGGAGGUUUAUUGCUGGCAUCUUGCAGGUGCCUGCUCCUCUCAAAUGCAUCAGUAUGAAUGUUCACUUCAUGCUCAGUGUGAUAAUUAUCUGCACUGUGUCUGAGUGUUAUGGAUUCAUGCUUCAAACUGUCGUCAAGACAAUUCAUUUGACUUCUGACCUCAAAUCAGGUAGGACUACCCGCUGAACUUAAGCAUAUCAAUAAGCGGAGGAAAAGAAACUAACAAGGAUCCCCCUAGUAACUGCGAGUGAAGCGGGAAAAGCUCAAAUUUAAAAUCUGGCAGUCUUUGGCUGUC
rnacentral:rRNA from 1 species